rnacentral:lncRNA from 1 species
ACAAAUCAUUACCACUGCCUGCGAAGUUUCUUGUGAGAAGGGAAUUCCUGAGAGAUUCCAAGAAAACGAAAAACAAAGAGAGAAUCUAGACUGUCAAAUGCAAGGACAUUUUAAAAGAAAAAACUCACCGACCCCUGCACUAGGUGAGACGACAACUUACAGACAACAGCUUUAUCUGUUUAAAGCUGAAUUUAACUCCUACGUCUUACUGUGUUUUAUCAGUGAGGAGACAGACCCACAGAGGGUAAGUAUCUCAAUGAAAAUCAUGUGAUGACCAAGAGACAAAGUCAAUAUUAAAUGCUAGCCUUCUAACCA